ensembl:lncRNA
CAGCCAGCAAAAAAGCGAAGAAAGGACAGACAACAAAACCAGACUGAAAAAUUGUCCGAUUGACUGUGAUUUACUUAUCAAGUAAACUUAGCUAGACAUCGUUCGAAAAGCAAUCCGAUUGAUCUUUGCAUUUUAACUGAUUCACUUGAUGUAACAUCGACUAGGGCUGACCUGAAGCGAACAUUAAAGGCCAGAACUCCUUUUCUGAGACGAAGGGAAUGUCUAGUUGACGUGUCGCGCCUGUCGCUCCGUUCUUGCACCGGGUUUCUCUGUGGAAUGCCCGUGGCAUGAUGCCGUCACUGAGUCUCACCCCACGCCCAGGUGACAAGGGAGGGCGUGUUGGGCUGUCAGCCAUUCACACCAGGCCCGUUAGGAGAGUCACUUCCGGUAUCUGUUCAUCCGUACUCCAUCUCAGAACCCUCUCGCCUCACUGACGUCCUGCCCCUUGUUCUUCCAUCACUUCCUCCUGAAGCCCCACCUCUUCCUGUGUGGCAUUGUGGGGAUGCUGGUGCCAGCUGGCGCUGGAAGUUACCAUGGUGACGGAUAGGUAACCUUUCUGAUGUUGUGCCAGAUGUGGAGAAGACAGGAGGGCUCCAUCAGACAUCGACGGGC